GACGAACGCUGGCGGCGUGCCUAAUACAUGCAAGUCGAGCGGACCACUUCGGUGGUCAGCGGCGGACGGGUGAGUAACACGUGGGCAACCUGCCUGUAAGACUGGGAUAACACCGGGAAACCGGUGCUAAUACCGGAUAAUCCUUUCCUUCACAUGAAGGGAAGCUGAAAGACGGUUUCGGCUGUCACUUACAGAUGGGCCCGCGGCGCAUUAGCUAGUUGGUGAGGUAACGGCUCACCAAGGCAACGAUGCGUAGCCGACCUGAGAGGGUGAUCGGCCACACUGGGACUGAGACACGGCCCAGACUCCUACGGGAGGCAGCAGUAGGGAAUCUUCCGCAAUGGACGAAAGUCUGACGGAGCAACGCCGCGUGAGCGAUGAAGGCCUUCGGGUCGUAAAGCUCUGUUGUCAGGGAAGAACAAGUACCGGAGUAACUGCCGGUACCUUGACGGUACCUGACCAGAAAGCCACGGCUAACUACGUGCCAGCCGCCGCGGUAAAAC
rnacentral:rRNA from 1 species